GGGACCCGUCUUGAAACACGGACCAAGGAGUCUAGCAUGUGCGCGAGUCAUUGGGACUCUGAUGAAACCUAAAGGCGCAAUGAAAGUGAAGGUUCGCCUAGCGCGAACCGAGGGAGGAUGGGCGGUCCACGGUGGCCGCCCCGCACUCCCGGGGCGUCUCGCUCUCAUCGCGAGAAGAGGCGCACCCAGAGCGUACACGCUGGGACCCGAAAGAUGGUGAACUAUGCCUGGUCAGGACGAAGUCAGGGGAAACCCUGAUGGAGGUCCGUAGCGAUUCUGACGUGCAAAUCGAUCGUCGGAACUGGGUAUAGGGGCGAAAGACUAAUCGAACCAUCUAGUAGCUGGUUCCCUCCGAAGUUUCCCUCAGGAUAGCUGGCGCUCGCUUCUUGCGAGUCUCAUUCGGUAAAGCGAAUGAUUAGAGGCAUUGGGGUCGAAACGGCCUCAACCUAUUCUCAAACUUUAAAUGGGUGAGAUCUCCGGCUUGCUUGAACAGUGAAGCCGCGAGAUAUCGGAUCAGAGUGCCAAGUGGGCCACUUUUGGUAAGCAGAACUGGCGCUGUGGGAUGAACCAAACGCCGAGUUAAAGCGCCUAAAUCGACGCUUAUGGGAUACCAUGAAAGGCGUUGGUAACUUAAGACAGCAGGACGGUGGCCAUGGAAGUCGGAA
rnacentral:rRNA from 1 species